CAGCAGUAGCCGCGGUAAAACAGAGGGUGCGAGCGUUAAUCGGAUUUACUGGGCGUAAAGCGUGUGUAGGUUGUUGUUCAAGUCAGUUGUGAAAUCCCUGGGCUCAACCUGGGAACUGCUUCUGAGACUGAACGACUAGAGUACGGUAGAGGGUGGUGGAAUUUCCGGUGUAGCGGUGAAAUGCGUAGAUAUCGGAAGGAACAUCAAUGGCGAAGGCAGCCACCUGGGCCUGUACUGACACUGAGACACGAAAGCGUGGGGAUCAAACAGGAUUAGAUACCCCAGUAGUCCCUGUCUCUUAUAC
rnacentral:rRNA from 1 species